rnacentral:lncRNA from 1 species
GCCCGCACUCCGCUCCGGCCCGUGUUCUCCUUCCAGAGGCGGACUCCGCGGCCGCACUCGUGUGACUCCAACACCAAUAAGCAGACCGGACAGCAGGGCCGGGGGCUCGCGGGGGCGCGCGGGGGCGCGCGGGGGCAGGACCUGGACCGAGCCCCGGCCGGCCGGGGCGCCCCCAGCCCACAGGCGGGGAGCCUCAGACGCAGAGUGGGGCCGAAUCCGUCAUGAGCCGAGAACUUGAACGUCUCUCUUGGAAGCGGUUGUAUUUUUAGACACCCCUCCUUUGCUCCCCCCCCGCCCCAUCCUCCAUUCCUUAGCCGCGGAGAGACCAGCACCAGGCAGUAAAUUGCGAGGGCAGCCAACCUCGACUGCUAAGUUUGCCUCCCUUCUUAUGCAUGAAGAAAAGCCUCCAAAGGAGGGAACACAACCAAUGGAACAGAAAAUGUUUUACUCUGGGGAUCCAGCAGGAUUGAAAUUUUCAGAAGCUCACAGAUAUCCACAAAGAUACAUCUGUGCAUUUACCUACCCGGGCUGUCUUAUAAACGACUAAACUUCCUAUAGGAUAGUCCAUUGAUUGUUGCCACCCUAACUUCCUAAAAAUGACCUCAUGAGAGAAAGAUGAAGAAAAAAACAAGCUCUCAAGACAAAGGGAGAGGCUUUUGCCAGGGAAGUCCUCAACCACCGCUCUGAGUCCCCACAUUUGGUUUCUACUAAUGCAGGAGGAGGUGGCGGAGCAGCUAGUGGGCAGCUGGCGCCCCCACCACGCAAGCCUCCGCCCCGGAGACUAGCCCCGCGCGGCCCCGGGUGCGCCGCAGAGCCCCGGGGAGGGCCCCGGGGAGGGCCCCGAGGAGGGCCCCGGCCGGGGGCGCCCCGCGGCCCAGCCACCUCCGCCCGCGCAGAGGUGCUUUACAAACAAGGAGAAACUUUUCCUGAUCUCCCGCUCCCGCGCCGUGGCGGUGGAGGACGGAGACCUGGAGAGCGCCGGCAUCUAGGGGAGAAGCAGCGGGAGCGCGGAAGGAGCCGGAAUCGGGGAACCGCCCGCUGGAAUCGGCGAGUUUAA